CAGCCAAUCCAUUUUCCCUAAGCUGCUGUUAAGAAAAAAAAAAAUGGUGAAUCAGAGAGCCAUUAUCAAAGGUGCAAGCUGACUUGUCAUCACUUGUGUGAUGAAAAACAUCUUUGCCUGAAUCUUGUUCUUCACCUGGGCUAAGAUUUCUAUCUACACAACGCUUUUCAACAGUUCAGCUUCAAUUAACAACUAAGAGAGCUGCCAUUAGAUUUUCUCAAGACUGGAAACAAUGUAGGAUUUUCUUUUCUUCUAAAAAUAAUGUACAUUUUUAUUUGUAUCUAUACUCAGUCUCUAUACUUCUGCAUCUAUAUUUCUGCAUCAUUAAGUCAAACCACAGAUAUUUCUGGUUUCUGUGGUUACUCUUAGAAAUUACUGUAACGAUCUACUAAUUUGCUCUUUAUGCUUCCUGUAAGAGCUUCUUUGAGUCUUAUGGUUUUCACGUGAUGUAUUGCUAACAUCUUCUGAAGUUCUAAGUUUUAAUAACUGUCAAGAUUUCUAACUCAUUUUCCUCUGUCAAAUAUAGUAAGGGAUGCACAAACAAAAAUAUUCUCACAUUUCUGCCUAAAAUAUUUUUAAAAAUGGCUCACUUAUAUCUCCCUGCCUCACUUAUUGUACCUACUCAUGAGAAACUUCCAGAUUUAUUUAAUUGAGAUUCAUUUUUAGAACCAUGAGAAUGCUCUAAUAUCUUCUUGGUCCUUUGGAGGAAACAUUAAAAUUGUCCAUAAGACUGACAGAGUUCACGUAUAUGUUCUGCGACUCAUGGUUAAAAACACCACAUACCAUUAGCAACCCAUCUGUUCCAUUUCUUGGUAUACUAGAGUGUAAGGUCUCUUGGUUCUAAGACUGUAACAGUGCAAAUCUAUUUGGUACACUAGCUACAACAGGUUAACAUUAAGUUGGCUGUAUUUCAAGCUAACAAAGCUUGUCAGCAGUUCCAGGCCAGCUCCUAGAUUUUUUUUUUCUUUCCUUUUGGGAUCAUGCUUCCUUAUUUCUUCUCUCCUGAAUCUAUUCUCAUCUCUUUCUCUGUUAUAUUUCUUCAGCUUUUUAUAUGUGACUACUACUAGCACACAGUCACUAACAUCAGGUUCAUUGGACAAAUAGAGAUUUUUCAAUGACAUAUGUGUUUUAUUACUAAUGAUAGUACAUAAGCAAAUAUUUAUGAUGAUGAGUCUGGGGUUUCUAUCUGGAAGGUUUGAUGAAAUAAUAUAUACUCAGAGAUCCAAUAUUGAGUCAGUCAGUAGAAUAUCUUUUUCCUUAAACAGUCCUGAUCUUUCUCAUAUAUUUUCUCUGUGAAGCCUUUUGGAGCCACUGACAGUCCAGAAAUCUGUGUGUUACGGAGUUUCAGUAUUAGAAGCCAUGUGGUGAGGGAUUAAGUCAGGAACUCUCACACAAAGCUAUGACUGCUGAUAGAUAACGCAGAUUGAAAGAGACAGCCUGCAGUGAUUUCACCUCCACAGCAGAGACUUCAAUAUCUCCUCUCAGUUCCACAUGGCUGGGGGAGGGCUCAGGAAACCUACAAUCACGGCUGAAGGCAAAGGAGAAGCAAGGACCUUCUUCACAUGGUGGCAGGAGAAAGAAGAGUGAGAAGUGAAGCCAGAAGA
rnacentral:lncRNA from 10 species